CUCUCGUUUGAAUAGAGCAUCAAGGUUCUUCUUGUUUUUGGGCUGUUGUAUAUAGGCGGUUGGGUUUUUGAACUGUUCUUUCUUAAUCUUCCUGUGCUACCUUAGUUUGGUAGAAGAAGUUCCUGUAGGGUUUAUUUUUUUGAGGCAAUCCCUUUAGGUUGCGUCUAGUUGGGUUCUGAUCUAUAUACUUGCUUUUUUGAAUUUGUGAUUUCAUUUAGCGAAAAUGCACUCCAGUUUGGUUAAUUUAUAUGGAAAUCUGAAGGGAAAAAGAAGUUUUCUUUAUAUUUUUGAGAUAAACUCAUACAUUGUAAUUUUUUUUGUUGGCAUUUUGAAUACGAAGAGAGUAACAAAUGUGUUUUUUUAAUAAUAAGCAUAACGUGUAAAAGGGGGAAAAAAGAUGUGGGCAUAGUGGCAUUUGAAUCAACAAGCUCAGGGAUUGAGAAUUUCUGUAGGGUUCUCUGGUUUUAAUGGUUGACAAUGACAUGUUAAUUUUCACUCUUCUUUUUGUUGUGUUCAGGUUGUGGCUAUAACAGUUUUCUUCUUGCUAUAUGUGGCAUAUUAUGCCUUCUUUUCUUCAUUCCUUGGAAAUUAUAUUUACCAAUAUGCAGCUAUUGGUGUUUAUUAUUUCUUGAGCAACCAGGUGUCCUUCAAGUUGUCCCAAACAGGAAAAUGGAACUGCAUUCAGGUAAAGGGAUGUUGCACUAAAGAAAGAACUUUCAUGGUUUAAGAAAACAAGUUAUAAGGCUAAAUAUAUUACUAUAUGUGUAUGUGUGGAUCUGAUUAAUUAUGACAUUUAAUCUUACAUCUUGAAUAAUAAUUAAAUAAGUUGUUUAGUUGAGGUUCUUUUAGUUACUUGAGCAGUACCAACUAGUGUUGUACAUUCGGGUUGUGCUAUUCGGGUUCAUUUUUUGUGAUUGUUAUGGCUAUAAAUAAUUAUUUUUUACUUCAGACAAGCUUGGUCCGUGCAGUGGUACAAGAAUGUGGCACCCUUAUAAUUGUUAUUAGGUAUUGUCUUCAUCUCUAGUUGGCAAUGGCUUCUAAGGUUUUGUUUUGUUCCUCUUAGCAUCUGAAUUAUUAAUCUUCAUAGAAAUGUAAAUUUUAGCCACCAAAAUAGGCUUCCACAUUGUAAAUUUUCAGUAAACUAUUCAUACUUUCUCAAUGAUUACA